rnacentral:lncRNA from 1 species
UGGGGACUGGAGGCUGAGCACUGCACAGAGCGAGUGAGAGGCUGAGGAGGCUGAAUCAUAGGGACAGAGAGCUGGAGUGUGUGAGAGGCUUUGUGCUUAAUGUGUGCUUCUCAGCAGAAUGAAUGAUGAGAGGACUACAGCUCUACUUUCUUCUUCACUGGGGGAAUUUUAGCUGGAUUUUACUCGCUCUAAGUCAGCACUUUAAAAUUGGAAUGUGUUCUUGUUAUCAACCUCUGUCUGCACAACCGCUAUAUGGUCUGUAUCUGGAAAUGCUGGAUAGUUUCCCAGUCCAGGACAUGGUUUCCUGAGUGGCCCUUCCACCGACACAUCACACGUGGUGAAGCCUUUCAUCCUGGGCCAUGACUGCUCUACCUCCAAACAUCAGCGUUCCCGGGAGCACAGCAGUUCUGCUGCCGACUGCAGACUAUCUGUUCAAUCUGACUGCAGCUGCUCAAGCAGCACUCGGUUCAGGCCAGUCACUGGCCCCUCUCUGUACCAUCUGCUGCUGUGGAUUUCUCAACCGCACCUUGGCUGUGGUGUUCAUGGUCAGCCUGGCAUUUGCCAUUGUGGUUGGAAAUGUGGUCACCCUCACUGUGUUUGUACAAACAAGACAGUCUCGAACACCACAGGGAUACCUGAAAGUGUCUCUGGCCAUAGCGGACAUGAUGGUCGGCGUCCUCGUCGUCCCUUUCUCUGUCUACACUGAGAUCUCUCUGAUGGUGGCCACCACUCCCCCCAUUUGGUACCAGGUUAGUUCUACUUCCCUGGCCACCUCCUCUCUGGGGGGACUAGUGAGCCCUUGGCAGCCCUGCAUGCUGAUUGGCCCAGUGUUCGCUGGAUGCACCUUUGUCUCCAUUAGCACCAUCUUCCUCAUGACACUGGAGCGAAGUGUUGCCAUCUUACGGCCACUCCACAAGGAUGCUUUGGUGACCCGGAGACGAACUCUGCUCCUCAUCCUGCUCUCCUGGGCUGCUAGCUUCCUGCUGGCUCUUGCGCCCCUCAUCUUCAGCAGCAACUUCACUUUGGAGUACAAUGAGUGCAGUCGCAUGUGUAACUACACCCCACUGAUGUUUGGAGGCCAGCUGCCACCUGAUGCCAACAUUUUGCUGUUAUUCCCAGCAUUUGACUUCACACUGCUCGGUGGCACGUUAGCAGUUAACAUUGUGUCUUUCACUAGCAUCCGACGGUACUCCCGAAAACGCAAGCUGCUCUCUGAAGGGAGUCUGAGUGACACAGGGGGAGGAGGAGGAGCGGGAGGGUGCCCCCACAGGCCCUCCUUUUCAGACAUCAAAGCUGCCAAGACAAUUGGCAUACUAACAUUCGCCUUCACAGCAUCAUUCUCCCCCAUCGCUGUGUUUGUGCUCGGUAACGUGGUGGGAUACACCUGGUGCAACUUUUCCUUUUUUGCCUUCUGGAUCCUGACUGGAAACAGUUGCUGUAAUGUAAUUAUCUACAGUGUCAGGGACCACCGCUUCAGGAAGGGUGUGACCCUGCUUUUUCAACGAGACCAGUCACCCCCACAUGGCGAGAAGACCUGAGGAAUAUGUGAAUUUGAAAACAACAAAUGAUGGAUUUUUUAUUAUUAUUUUUUUUUUUAGGAACAGUUUGACAGUUUUGGGAAAUAUGCAUACUAUUUCCUUGCCAAGAUGAUAAAUGCCAUGUCUGUAAAGUAAAGGUGCCAGCUUAGCUUAGCAUUAAGAUCGGAAAAGGGGAAAACAGCUAGCCUGGCUCUGACCAAAAAAAUAAAAAAAUAAAAAAUCUAAAAUGUUAAAAAAAAAAGUGUAAAAACAACAUGGUGUAUUGUGUGAGCAUGAGAGGUUUGGACAGGGACGGGCUAGCUGUUUCUUUCUCCUUCAACUAAUUGCAAAAGUCACUUAAAGGAAUCAUCACCUGGUUUUUUAAAUAUCCAGUCCCUCUUGGAUUGCUUUGGAUCAAUUCUUAAAAUUUAUUAUAAAAAACAAAUUAAAAAAAAAUCAAACAUAGAGCUUGUUCUGACACUUUUUCAUACCGUGACUUUCUCACGUGAGAUUAUGCGCGAGGUUUUGACCAGUCCGGAUGUGCACUGUAUUAAUAUGUAAUGAGGCGUGCGUUGAUUGGCCGCAGGAAGGACAGAGCCGGAAUGGGGGGCGAGCCUGCAUGCACACAGACUCCAAAACCUAAACAGGCCCCUGUCAUGGCGCACACACAAAAUGACGAAUCUCACGGAAUUCAGGCAUUUAUGUACGAGCCGGAGUCGGAACCCAAACGGGAGAGUGAAGAGGCAGAGACGGUGGAAGAGACACGUUUACAGCAGGAUGUCUCUGAAUGGUAAAAUCUUUUUUUUUCCUUCUUACUUUUCACACUCGUGUUUUACAUGUAAGACCUGAGUUUUAAUGCUGCGGUCACGACGUGUGAUACUAUUGUGUGCUAUUCCUGUUCGGAAAAAGAGCCAAAGCGAAAAAAAUAAGCCACUUUCAAACUCCAGCUUUUCAGGCAAGUUUCAACAGAGGUCCAACACCAAUAUGCAUGAUUUAACGAGAGAAAUUGCGAUUUCCGGGUGAUGACUCCUUUAAUUAAAACUAAAACAAAAUAAAACAUACCAACACAGUCUGGUUUGUCAAUAAGAGUAAGGUGUGAAUAUUCCGGCCUCACACGCCAUUUUCUGCUGAUGUCCGACGCCCUGUCGCCUCCCCCGUUCCGCUUUACUCGUCUUCUCGUCCAAAAAGUCUUUUUUUUUUUUUUUUUUCAAACUGAUCUCCUGGAGGCUGUGUUCAUUCUCAGUUUGGUGUGCAGCCACGUUCAUUCUCACGUCAGGGUGUCGUAUCCAGUUGAGCUGGGUCCAGUCGACCGUAGGGACUGCUAGUUACAGCCAAAGAUAGCUAGCAAAGAGCAGCAGGUGUCAUUUACUUAGGUGAUAUGCUGCCCCCCGUGUUUUUGGAGUUACCUUUGAAUUAUUGCCAUGUCUUACAAAUGAUACCUUCACAGUUAGACAAAGACUGUGAUUUCAGUAAAUUUAAUUUAAUAUAUUUAAUAUUAAUUCAAAAAAUCCUAUGUCUCACAUCAGUGCUGACAGAAUUAUGCUUUCUGUUUAUCCCAUUUAUUAUGUUUAUCACAAAAUGUAUUUGCGCUUGCAAAAUGUAAUUUCUAGGAGAUGGAUUGCCUGUUUCCUGUCUUUGUGCUAAGCUGAGCUCACUGUUUCUUGGCUACAUAUUCAUACAGUAGCUCUGUGAGAGUGGUAUCACUCAGCAAGAAAGACAUUAUCCCAUGUCUCAAACUUUCAAACUAUUCCUUUCAUUCAGUUGUAACCCCUAUGUAAAACACAAGUUCUUCAAUCAUGACAGCACUGCAAUUCUUCAAGGCUGAGAACUGCAAAUGGAAGUCGAACUUAUAAUUUUUUAACAUUUGUCUUUGGACAAACAGACCUAAAUCUAUGCAUUGCAUGAUAAAACAGUUUUCAAGUUGGGAAAAAACACACAUGUAGGUUUUGAGGGAAAGCGGCGGACUACUGCCACAACAGUCCACAUCCUCUCCUCUGGUCUCCUUGUCUCAACGCACUCUACUGUCCAACCUCUUGCCUACAUCAGAUUACUUUUAUGAGACUUUCAAUGACUUCAGGAACCAAACCUGCUCUAUAUCCAGGAACUGCACUGACAAUCACAAUCACUGCACAUAAAUCCUUUUCUCCAUGUCAUAGGAGGGUUUAUAUUUCUUAAGUUCUUUCUGUAUUUAGAAACCUUUACUAGCGCCUCUUUUGGCAAAAGUUUCGGUAAAUGGAAGAGUUACAGAAUACAUUUGAUUCUGUUGGUGUUAAAUAUAUUUAUUUUUGAGCAUCUUAUUUCAAUCUAUCGUAUUAAUAAUCUGCCUCAAGAAACGCACUUUAUUAGUUACAAAAUUAGUCAUUUACAUUGUGCUAUGUGUCAGAGGAUGUUAAUUUUGUACCAGUUUUAUUUUUAGUUUCAUAAUAUUUGUUAUUUUUGUCUAAAAAAAUUGUGAAUGAAAGAAUGAUCUGUACAUUUAUUAAAUCAGUGUAGACUAAAUGAAUGGGAUGCCAACCACAGAGAUUUAUGAUUAUAGCAGACCCUCCUACUGUGCCGGCCUAUUAUCAGGGUAUAAUGUAUUUGUAACAUAAAAUGAUAUCAUCAUUGUGUCAGCUACGAGUCUUGUGUAUAGUUUGAAAGUCUGUAUUGUACAAUUUGACAAUAUUAUUAUAUAUAGUAUAUAAAUGAGACUGAAGAGCAUUUCAUAUGAUUCUGUCAAAAACAAUUUUGCAACAAAAUUCUCCAGCAAAGGGAAAACUUUGUUUUUUUUGCCAUGAACUGCACUAACUUGAUUUCAGAUUUUUUUUUUGAUACAUACAAUAUUCCCUGUCACUCAGUCAAUCAAAACAUUAUGUCCUGUGUACCAUGAAGUGCCCAGUCAGUUCAGUAUUUUGGAAAAUAUAUUAAUUUGCUCUCUUUCUGAGAGUCAGAUGAAAAGAUCAAUACCACAGUCACAUCUGCAAAUACUGGAUAUAUGACACUGCAGCCAGGAAACAUUUAGCUUUGCUUAGCUUAACAAAGACUGAAAACCUGCAAAUAAAGUUCACUCAUUAAUCAAUUUAAAAUCAGUUUAAUUCAUACAACCGUCAAAUUUGGACAGAGCCAGACUAGCAGUUCCCCCCCUAUUUCAUUCCUCUUGCUUAGGCUAAGCAUCUUGCUUUAUGUUUACCACACAAACAUAAAAGUGGUAUCAAUCUUCUCAUCUUAUACUCACCAAGAAUGUGAAUAAGUGUAUAUCCAAAAUUAUCUAACUAUACAUUUUAAGCUAAGUGAAUGACAAUCCAGUGCAUGUUCAUGGAAACUUUUUUUAAUAUCAAGGGUGCUGUGAUGAACUGCAAGUUGACCCAAUAACAUCACACAUAACAUCAGGGAAUUUAGUGGUCAACAAAAAGAACAGAAAGCUUAUGUGUUAACAUGUCAUGAGCAAACUUCACUGAAUGAACAUUUUGCAUCUUAUUUUUCUAGUUUAAAAUUUGUCACAAUCACGAGUUUGAAUCUACAGCAUCCUCAUCAUCGUUGGUUCUGUGUAAGAAAACGUGAUUAUUAUUGUGCUGAUGUUGAAUCACUGUACAGAGUUGUAUAAGUCGUGCAUAAUUCAUCUCUGGUGAUUUCAUCAGAUUUGGUAAUAAAUAAUGUGUUUGGGAACAUUUCAUUUGUGAGU